AUGUCACCGCAUAGAUCGAGCAGUGGCACAACUAUUCAGCACACAAACCUGGCUGAUGUACCCGAACCAGCUCCGGCCGAGUUUUUCUCAAGGGGAAUGAAGCGAACACAAUCCCGCCUCGCCACCAUUCUGCCGGCCAUUUGGAGAGAAGAUGCAGUCAUGCAACGUGAGCGAGUUGCAGCUGCUAGGAAGUCUCCCAUACAUUUGUUUCUGACUGAGAUCUCCAAUGACUCCGUGGACAUGAAAGAUGGAGAAAGCUCGUGGGCACGAGAAAGUGAUGGAAGGAAAGACAAAGGAAUGCGAAGAUCCCAGUCUCUUCUCACAGAACUUGACUCAUCCUCACAAGUUUGGGCCUCAGACAAAGACUUCCUGCCUGCAUAUGAAGGCCAUGGCAAAAAGAGAGAUUUGUUCCUUACAGAGAUCGAGACAUCUGUGUCAGAUUGUGAGGAUGCAUAUGAUGGUGAAGGUGGCACCCCAGUUUCCAGAUUUGGAACUACUCCUCAUCCUUUUGCAUGUCCCUCAGAUCUACCAGCAUAUGCAGAAGCUGAAGAGGCAUUUUCAUCAGGGAUAAAGAAGUCUCAUUCCCUGCUCUCUGAAAUAUCCAAUGAGAGUGUUGAACCUGAGCCGAAGAAAGGGGAAAUGACGAGAGAGGAAUUCCUGAAGGAGAUUCAAUCUGCUGAAACAUUUCUAACUGAAAUCAUUACAAGGCAAUGCAAAAAGGAAGAGAGUGUUUCACCUGCUCCAUUGUCUCCUGAGUAUGAGUCAAUAUGCAUUGACCCAGAAUCAUCUCAGACAAUACAGUUUGAAUCAGAAAGAGCAAGAGCAGGAAAGCCAUCAGGUGACACAAAAGAAGCAAUUUAUGCUCAAGUCACCAAGCGGGCGAAAAGGAGUGAAAUAAAAGUUGCUAUGCGCCCAGAAAUUCCAGUGCUUCAGAUUGCAUCUGAGUUACAAAAUCUUGAAUCAGCUCAGAAAUUAACUCCAGUCAGUCACUUUUCACCUGAAAUGGAGCUAGAGAAGCAUUCCCUUAAUGAUUUUCCUCCCUCAGAAGUAAUGCCUAAAAAUGGGCCUCUAUUGGAGCAGCUAUCUCCCAUUAUAAAAGAGAAACAAAAUUCUCAAGAGUCUCACAAUCAGCAUGACUGUGUAAGUGAAGGUCCAGUAGAACCCAGGAAUCUGCACACUGUUAAAGGUUCACUGAGUUGUGACAAAAAUCUAAUCCCUGAUGAUACACAAAUUGUAAGUGCAGAUGAAAACUAUUUGAAGGGCAUAUUUGUUCAGGCAAAAGAACUAAUGCAGAAAAAUGAUCACCGUGUUUCAGCUGGCAUUGAGGUGAUGACAUCUAAUGCAACAUUUGAAGAGGUACACAAUGAGAAACUGCCAGAAGAUCCAAACAAGAGGCCAAAUGAAUCGACUUUCCUUGAUCCUUCGCAAAACAGUAAUUCAGCAGGUGGCACAAGCUCUACAAAGGAAAGGGAAUACAGUUCAAAUAUGAGUCAAGACUGCCCCACUGCCAACUUGCAAAUGGAGACAUCCUUUAAAUCCCUCGAGCAAACCACUUUACCUGACAAGGAAAUUAGUUCAAGGACGGCGUGUCAUGAUAAAGACAUAAAAAUGGCAAAAGAGCAAAUACUUCCAAGUGAAUCUUCACUCUCCUUGAAUGAAUUAAGCACAGAUGUGUUUCACUCGCCUAUGGUCCAUGAACCCAACUCUGAUCAGUCACUUUCCACCAUGACCCCCACAGAUUCUGUCUUGUCACCUUUGACCUCUAAUUCACUGGAUUGCCUCACUCCUGGAGACUCCUGGUUGGGUGGAGGAAGUGGUGGAUGGAGAGCCCUGGGAACUGAAACACCAUACCGUGAUUCGGCCUACUUCUCUGACAGUGACUUGGAUGGUGGAGAGGGUUUAGGCAGAAGAGGCACUGAUGUACUUGGUGGGAAUCGAGGAAUAUUGGUGGGAAUUGAGGAAAAGAUUGAGGAUGAAGGACCACUGGAGAAUUUAGAAAAGGAAGUGGAGAUGAAACAACAUAUGCAUGAAUUGUGGGGUUCAAAUGAGAGAGUUGAUGUAGAGAAGGCUCUCAUACAAGGUGCUGUCACUUCAAGAGAUUCUCAAAGUGAAUUCAAUGCUGAGUUUAUUGCCAGGUUGUUUUCCAAUGGAGAGGAUGAGCCAAAUAAGGGAGUUCUAUUUAGCAACAGCUCCCUUAACAUCCAAAACUCCCCUCUAGUUAAAAAUAGUGAGCUGGUCACAUCUCACACAUUUCCAAAAGAAAGAGUGCUUCACGAUUCAGGUGCUACAGAUCUUAGACUGCUUGCUGACAUAGUCUCAAACCCUCAAAAACCUGUUUCUGGACCAGUUUGUCAAGAACAACUCAUAGAACAUUGCUCAUAUUUGCAAACAACGAAGUAUAAGGAGGCACGUUGUACAUCACCUGAAUUCCCAGUUGAUGAAAAGUCAUCAGACAAAAGUAAAUCCAGGUUAUCGCGGUUUUACAGCUUACAGUCUGACAAUUCUAAAUGCAUCAUCAGCCCUGAGAUAAAUACAAAGCUCAGCAAUGAUGACACCAAAUGCGGCCUGACCCAAUUCCUCUGGUCUGAGACAAAAGCUGAACAACCUACAGGAGAGGAAAAGGGUAAGCUUGAUAUCCAAGACAUAGAUGCAAAUGAACUAGGCUUGAGAAACCUCUCGUAUUCAGAAGAGAGUGAGGAUGAACAGGCAAAGGAGAGGCCUGAAAGGCAGCUAGCUGUAGGGGAGCUCUGCUUCACUAUCAAGGAAUCCCCCCAAAAUUCUGCCGACGAGAAAGUCAGCAGUAUGGAGAUCUCAAAAGAUGAAUGUUAUGAUGAAUUUGGCAGAGGUGCCUCAAUGGGUCUUGAACUGAAGGAGAAGGAGUUGUGGAGUGCCCUUGAGGAAGAUUUUGGUACAGAGGAGACUGUGAGAGGGGAAUUGAACUGCCAAACAUUUCAGCAGGGAGAACUUCACCUUUGGCCUGUAGAAAAUGACCAGUGGGCUGCAGCCGAAGAUCAGACACCAGAAACAGGGCUUGGAUCAGAGCUGUUCCCGAGUUUUGGAAAAAAGGCCUGGGGGGAGGAGGAACACUUAGUCGUGAGUCAUGAAUUUUGGGAAUCUGAAGCAAAUGAUGAGCUUGCGGAUAGUGAGUCUCAUCCCUCUACUCAGAGAAUAUGUGAAGAUGCAUUUAAUGACGAGAAGCUAGGACGGGCUGAUUAUCCACCACAUGAGAGGCUGAUCCUUUCUAGUGGGGCAAAGGAAGCUCAGCAGGCACUUGUAGAAAGGCUCGACUUUCAGCAAGAGGAGAACAUGGAAAAUCCAGAUGUGGAAAAUGGAACACCAGAGCACCAUAUUAGCAAAAUAAAAAUGGAAGUUGAGAAUCUGGAGAACCCAGAGCUGGAGGCACCUGUGCAACACAACCCUGUUGAGGUGGUGAUUGAUACCCAGAAUUCGGAGACAUGUUUACAAAAUUAUGUGGGAUGUGAAUUGUUUGGGGAUAAAGAUAAUAAAGAGUUUGACAGUCACGAAAACAUAGUGGGUGUAAGAGGUUGCAUGACUCACUGUCCCUCGUUUUCUAUUACAAAUGCUUCAACUGAUGAGUUGGAACCUCUACAAUGCCACAAAGAAUCUCUUUCUACUGAUAAUGACAAUGUACAAAGGGACCAAACUGAAGCCACAUGGACACCCAAGACUGAAGCAAGCAAAACAUUGGUUGCAGCCCUUGAAGACCAUCAAACCUGCACAAUAGAUAUGUCAAACUCAACCACUGACUUAGCUGAUAGUUCUCACAUCAUUUCAGCGUAUCCAGAGUGUCUAAGCACAGAAACCGGUAGACAUAAUGUUGACAGUAAUCACUGUCCUGCCACAAUCAGUGAUGUGUUUUUUGAAAAAGAAAGAUCUGAUUCUCCAUCUUGCCCAAGUCUCACCAUUAGCACUGAUCCAGAGCCAUGUAAGAUUCAUAGUAGCAAUGUUCAGUGUUCAGCCCCUGCACUGAUUUCAAUGGAGCUUUCUGAAUGUGCUGCUUCCCCACGUGCAGGAGUGGGUAAGUGCCAAGGCCCAAGUACUUUCCCGAAUACAGUACACCACAUAGAAAUCAAGACCAGUUCAAGUCUGUUCUGUGCUGCAGAUCAACCAUCUACUAAACAUGAGGAGCCCUCUGACUGUUCUGAUGAUGUUAACUAUUUAGAUCAGUCUCUUGAAGAACUUGCCACCAUUACCACCACUCACAACAAAGGUAUCACUGCAAACCUGGGACAAAAACUGCACACAUCUCUCAUGAAAGAAAACUACAUUCACCCAGAAUCAAAUGCUGUGGGCGACAGGAAUAGCCUGUCCCAGAAAGCGGCCCAUCCACCUCUCUCCCAGUGUUCUCUGAACUCCAUCCCUGAGUUGUUGAUCUCUGAGUGGAAGGACUUGGAUGAGGAGCCUCUGGAGGAUUUUGAAAAACUGGAGCAACUGUGCUGCAUUUCUGGGGAUGAAGAGACCCUUGGAGAUCUGUUUUUAGGAAACUUAGAUCUGCUUGAAUCUUUGAAGAGAAAUCCAGAGCAAAGAACGAGUUGUGGCAUAAUAAAUCAUCAUGACUCAGCAGAUGCAGAGGGGAAGACAAGAGUCGAGCUAAAAGAAGAAGUUGACGGGAUAUCGAAAAGUACCGAAAACAUUUCUCCAAAUUUCCCAGGAGAAGCUCAGCAGUCAGUGGAGAAGAGAAUGGGGAAACAUGUGCCAGCGCCUUUCUCACCAUGCAAUUCUACCGAUGGUUCCAAAGGGCAGAGGUCACUCUCAAAAAUGCAGGCAAAAAAUGGAUUGAUGAUGCAGGUUUGUGAGGAAAGACUUCAGUACUCUCUCAGUGAAAAUGUUAAAACCAAUGUCCUGUGGGGGUCUACAGUUAGUGACAGCGUGAUUCUGCACCCUUGGGGAACCUCUACCACUUCGUCCUCUGAAGAAAGUUUUGCAAGCAAAGAUUUCCAAGAAAACAAGAGCAAAGAGGAGUCUCAGCCCUCCUCUCCCUCUGUGUCUGUGAGUGAACCUGCUGAAGCAAAGACAGAAGAAAUGACUGUGCUUGAACAGCCUGAGGUUACACCUUCACUGCCAGUUGCAAAUCAAGCUAUGAAAGCUAAGCUGGCCCGUCUGUCCUUGUCCCUCCCUCCACUCGCUCUCUCUCUUCCUCUAUCACCAAAUGCCAAAGGAGGAUUCUGGGAAGGGGGAGAGCACAGAGGGGGAAGGAGGAGGGUUGCUUCAACAGGUAGCGAUCCAGAAGAAGAUGAAGAAGAGGAACAGGAGGAUGAGUCUCCCAGGCGUGUCAUCGUUGUCACAGAAACCGAUGUUGACAAGAGAGUGGGUUUGCGUAGCUUGUUGAAAUCACCAAAGGAGCCCGUGGACAAAGAGAACCGAGACCGUGGGAGGAAUGUGUCAUUUUUUGAUGAUGUCACAGUCUAUCUUUUCGAUCAGGAAACUCCAACCAAUGAACUGAGCUCUGGAUCAACUAGUUCAUCACCCCAAGGAAAGCCCCCCAACAUUGACGGUUUUGGAUCAGUCAGUCACAAGGCAUCAAAAAGUAAAGACCAUGUAGUGAAGCCAAGAUCUCCAACUGGAGUAACUUCCGGCUUAUCAUCAAGGUUUACAGUGAGCCCUGCCGAUGAUCCGCAUUUAGUGUGA
ensembl:lncRNA